rnacentral:misc_RNA from 1 species
CGGCGAGAGUGAAAGCGUGGAUGUCAGAUCCGGCGAGAGAAAUGGAAAGAUCUUCAGAGAGAGUGGAAUUAGGGUUACUCAAAUCCAGUUUCGAAAUCCUUUGGAAGGAACUCGGCUUAUUCGCCGCCACUACUUUCAUCACCUCCGACGACUGCGAAUCAACCUCGCAGCAGCUGGAGAAAAUGGAUCUCCACUUCAUUUUCUUCACCGCCAUUCCAG